AUUGAACGCUGGCGGAAUGCUUUACACAUGCAAGUCGAACGGCAGCACGGGUGCUUAGGCACCUGGUGGCGAGUGGCGAACGGGUGAGUAAUGCACCGGAACGUAUCCAAUAAUGGGGGAUAACGCACCGAAAGGUGUGCUAAUACCGCAUACGCCCUGAGGGGGAAAGCGGGGGAUCGUAAGACCUCGCGUUAAUGGAGCGGCCGAUGCCGGAUUAGCUAGUUGGUGAGGUAAAGGCUCACCAAGGCGACGAUCCGUAGCUGGUCUGAGAGGACGACCAGCCACACUGGAACUGAGACACGGUCCAGACUCCUACGGGAGGCAGCAGUGGGGAAUUUUGGACAAUGGGCGCAAGCCUGAUCCAGCCAUUCCGCGUGAGUGAAGAAGGCCUGGUGUAAGA
rnacentral:rRNA from 1 species